rnacentral:rRNA from 1 species
UACGUAGGUCCCGAGCGUUGUCCGGAUUUAUUGGGCGUAAAGCGAGCGCAGGUGGUUUAAUAAGUCUGAUGUAAAAGGCAGUGGCUCAACCAUUGUGUGCAUUGGAAACUGUUAGACUUGAGUGCAGGAGAGGAGAGUGGAAUUCCAUGUGUAGCGGUGAAAUGCGUAGAUAUAUGGAGGAACACCGGUGGCGAAAGCGGCUCUCUGGACUGUCACUGACACUGAGGCUCGAAAGCGUGGGUAGCAAACAGG